UGGUGGCGUGUGGGCUAUUCCAAGGCCUUGAGAACAGAUCUCAAGGGUUCUUCUCCUUCCUCUCUGAAGAAGACAUUCAUCCCUCUCUUCUAUAGUGUGUGGUGUGUACGUGAAGUAGAGGAUCCAUGCAUCCGGAUCUCGCAAAGCAUAUUGAUUGAGGAGCUUCUUCAACCUUGAUCCUUUUUCACUAUGAAUCAAGAUGAGAAUACAUUAAUAUUAUAAAAAAUUUUAAUUACUAAUCC
rnacentral:lncRNA from 1 species